rnacentral:rRNA from 1 species
AACCUUUGCAAUGCGGGAAACCGCGACAGGGGGACUCCGAGUGUCUGCACCUAGUGCAGACUUUUAAGAUGCCUAAAAAGCAUCUGGAAUAAGGGCCGGGUAAGACGGGUGCCAGCCGCCGCGGUAACACCCGCGGCCCGAGUGGUGGUCGCUUUUAUUGGGUCUAAAGGGUUCGUAGCCGGCUCAGCAAGUCCUUUGGGAAAUCCGGCGGCUUAACUGUCGGGCUUCUAAGGGAUACUACUGGGCUUGGGACCGGGUGAGGGUAGAGGUACUCCAGGGGUAGCGGUGAAAUGCUGUAAUCCUUGGGGGACUACCAGUGGCGAAGGCGUCUACCCAGAACGGGUCCGACGGUGAGGGACGAAAGCUAGGGGCGCAAACGGG